rnacentral:rRNA from 1 species
UACGGAGGGGGCUAGCGUUGUUCGGAAUUACUGGGCGUAAAGCGCAUGUAGGCGGGCCGGCAAGUCGGGGGUGAAAGCCCGAGGCUUAACCUCGGAACUGCCUUCAAAACUGGCGGUCUGGAGCCAAGGAGAGGCGAGUGGAAUUCCUAGUGUAGAGGUGAAAUUCGUAGAUAUUCGGAAGAACACCGGUGGCGAAGGCGACUCGCGGGCCUUGUACUGACGCUGAGGUGCGAAAGCGUGGGGAGCAAACAGG